rnacentral:rRNA from 1 species
AGUAAAAGUCGUAACAAGGUUUCCGUAGGUGAACCUGCGGAAGGAUCAUUACUGAGACUGGGUGCUUCGGCGCCCGACCUCCAACCCUUUGUCUACCUUACCACUGUUGCCUCGGCGGGUUUGCGCCCUACCUUAACCGGUAGAGUGAACUCCCGCCGGCGGCCUACAACCAAAACUCUUGUUUAAACACCGUUUAUCUGAGAACAAAAACAAUAACUUCAAAACUAUUAACAACGGAUCUCUUGGUUCUGGCAUCGAUGAAGAACGCAGCGAAAUGCGAUAAGUAAUGUGAAUUGCAGAAUUCAGUGAAUCAUCGAAUCUUUGAACGCACAUUGCGCCCUUUGGUAUUCCGAAGGGCAUGCCUGUUCGAGCGUCAUUAUCAACCAUCAAGCUCUGCUUGGCAUUGGGUGUCGACCCCCCCUCACCGGGUGGUCUCGCCUCAAACUGUUCGGCGGUGGGUCAGGGCCUCAAGCGUUAGUAAUACUUCCCGCUUCGGAGAAACCGAGUUGCCUGCCUCCAGAAACCCCCAUCUCAAGGUUGACCUCGGAUCAGGUAGGGAUACCCGCUGAACUUAAGCAUAUCAAUAAGCGGAGGAAAAGAAACCAACAGGGAUUGCCUCAGUAACG